GUGAUUCCUUCCGCAGUGUACGCUUACCGAAGCCUCUGCAGCCGCGCAAGCGGUAGGCCCGAGCGACUCGAAACAAGUCGGCGCCGUUGCAAGUCCCAGGCCUGGCCUGGGGCGACACUCUCGAAUUGGCGGGGACACCCUAAAGCCUGGCGCACCAAGCCGGGAGAGAAAUCUCUCGGUGGCCCGUGUUAACCGCACGGGGGAUGGUAAUAGACGACCUAGGAUAAUUCUGCCCUGGCAGAGACGAUGGGCAAUCCGCAGCGAAGCCCCUAACGCCCCCUCCCGGGGGGGGCCACGGGGAACGUUCACAGACUAAGUGUGAGUGGGUGGUGGCCUGGCCGCCGCUUAAGAUAUAGUCGGGCCCGCCGAGAGAUCGGUGGGAGAAGUACACUGAAUAUGGAUUACAGAGGGUUAAGGGCUAGUCAGAUAGCUCAGCGAUAUGGCAGCCUCAGGUUUCCAUGCUCGCUGAGUUACCCCUGUAACCAGAUUGACUUAACCGUUCCGUAGGUGAACCUGCGGAAGGAUCAUUACCGAGUCCGGGCUCCCCGCGAGCCCUCACUCCCACCCGUGUCUACCGUUACCGCGUUGCUUUGGCGGGCCCACUGGAGCCUGCCGGUCCGGUCGCCGGGGGGCCCUUGCCCCCGGGCCCGCGCCCGCCGAAGCGCCCCUGAACCCUGUGUGAAUAGUGAGUCUGAGUCCCGAUGAAAUCGUUAAAACUUUCAACAACGGAUCUCUUGGUUCCGGCAUCGAUGAAGAACGCAGCGAAAUGCGAUAAGUAAUGUGAAUUGCAGAAUUCCGUGAAUCAUCGAAUCUUUGAACGCACAUUGCGCCCUCUGGCAUUCCGGAGGGCAUGCCUGUCCGAGCGUCAUUUCUGCCCUCCAGCGCGGCUGGGUCUUGGGCGCUGUCCCCCCGGGGACACGCCCCAAAGGCAGUGGCGACGCCGCGUCGAGUCCUCGAGCGUAUGGAGCUGGGUCACCUGCUCGGGAGGGAUUCGCCGGCCUCGGUCUUCCCCGAUGGGCCCCGAUACAGGGGCGCCUCCUUCGGUUGACCUCGGAU
rnacentral:misc_RNA from 1 species